rnacentral:misc_RNA from 1 species
GAUGAAGAACGUAGCGAAAUGCGAUAAAUAAUGUGAAUUGCAGAAUUCAGUGAAUCAUCGAGUCUUUGAACGCACAUUGCGCCCCCUGGUAUUCCGGGGGGCAUGCCUGUCCGAGCGUCAUUGCUGCCCUCAAGCACGGCUUGUGUGUUGGGCCCCGUCCUCCGAUCCCGGGGGACGGGCCCGAAAGGCAGCGGCGGCACCGCGUCCGGUCCUCGAGCGUAUGGGGCUUUGUCACCCGCUCUGUAGGCCCGGCCGGCGCUUGCCGAUCAACCCAAAUUUUUAUCCAGGUUGACCUCGGAUCAGGUAGGGAUACCCGCUGAACUUAAGCAUAUCAAUAAGCGGAGGA